GGCUCCAUCGUCUAGUGGCCUAGGACUCCAGAUUCUCAAUCUGGCAACAUGGGUUCGAUUCCCAUUGGAGCUA
rnacentral:tRNA from 1 species